rnacentral:rRNA from 1 species
GAUGAACGCUGGCGGCGUGCCUAAUACAUGCAAGUCGAGCGAACAGACGAGGAGCUUGCUCCUCUGACGUUAGCGGCGGACGGGUGAGUAACACGUGGAUAACCUACCUAUAAGACUGGGAUAACUUCGGGAAACCGGAGCUAAUACCGGAUAAUAUAUUGAACCGCAUGGUUCAAUAGUGAAAGACGGUUUUGCUGUCCCUUAUAGAUGGAUCCGCGCCGCAUUAGCUAGUUGGUAAGGUAACGGCUUACCAAGGCAACGAUGCGUAGCCGACCUGAGAGGGUGAUCAGCCACACUGGAACUGAGACACGGUCCAGACUCCUACGGGAGGCAGCAGUAGGGAAUCUUCCGCAAUGGGCGAAAGCCUGACGCAGCAACGCCGCGUGAGUGAUGAAGGUCUUCGGAUCGUAAAACUCUUUUAUUAGGGAAGAACAAAUGUGUAAGUAACUAUGCACGUCUUGACGGUACCUAAUCAGAAAGCCACGGCUAACUACGUG